rnacentral:misc_RNA from 1 species
GAUGAAGAACGUAGCGAAAUGCGAUAAGUAAUGUGAAUUGCAGAAUUCAGUGAAUCAUCGAAUCUUUGAACGCACAUUGCGCCCGCUAGUAUUCUGGCGGGCAUGCCUGUCCGAGCGUCAUUUCAACCCUCAGGCCCCCGGGCCUGGCGUUGGGGAUCGGCGGAAGCCCCCUGCGGGCACAACGCCGUCCCCCAAAUACAGUGGCGGUCCCGCCGCAGCUUCCAUUGCGUAGUAGCUAACACCUCGCAACUGGAGAGCGGCGCGGCCACGCCGUAAAACACCCAACUUCUGAAUGUUGACCUCGAAUCAGGUAGGAAUACCCGCUGAACUUAAGCAUAUCAAUAAGCGGAGGA